CAUGUGGUGGAUUCCUGCCCUAUCAACUUUCGUCGGUACGGUAUUUGCCUACAGAGGUUCUUACGGGUGACGGGGAAUCUCGGUUCGAUUCCGGAGAGGGAGCCUGAGAAACGGCUACCACAUCCAAGGAAGGCAGCAGGCGCGCAAAUUACCCAUUCCCGACGCGGGGAGGUAGUGACGAAAAAUAACAAUGCAGGACUCGUUCGAGGCCCUGUAAUUGGAAUGAGUACACUUUAAAAGCUUUAACGAGUAUCCAUUGGAGGGCAAGUCUGGUGCCAGCAGCCGCGGUAAUUCCAGCUCCAAAAGUAUAUAUUUAAGUUGUUGCGGUUAAAAAGCUCGUAGUUGGAUUUUGGGCGCAGGCGGCCGGUCCGUCGCAAGGCGUGUACUGGACGUCCUGGCCUUCCCUCCGGUUCUCCGCCGGUGCUCUUGACUGAGUGUCGGCGGCGGCCGGAACGUUUACUUUGAAAAAAUUAGAGUGUUCAAAGCAGGCUCUCGAGCCUGGAUAAUGGUGCAUGGAAUAAUGGAAUAGGACCUCGGUUCUAUUUUGUUGGUUUUCGGAGCGCGAGGUAAUGAUUAAGAGGGACAGACGGGGGCAUUCGUACUGUGCCGUUAGAGGUGAAAUUCUUGGAUCGGCGCAAGACGAACGACUGCGAAAGCAUUUGCCAAGAAUGUUUUCUUUAAUCAAGAGCGAAAGUCAGAGGUUCGAAGACGAUCAGAUACCGUCCUAGUUCUGACUAUAAACGAUGCCAACUAGCGAUCGGGGGGCAUUACAUUGACGACCCCUCCGGCAGCUUACGGGAAACCAAAGUCUUUGGGUUCCCGGGGAAGUAUGGGUGCAA
rnacentral:ncRNA from 1 species